rnacentral:rRNA from 1 species
CCUGCGGAAGGAUCAUUUCUGAAGGCUUUUUGCCAAAACCACUGUGAACAGCUUAGACUUCGGUCUUUGCAAUUGCUUGGGUGUCGAAAGGCGCCCAAUCUUUAAAACUUUUAUAUUUGUUCUGAAACAAUGAAAAUUUAAAACUUUCAACAACGGAUCUCUUGGUUCUCGUAUCGAUGAAGAACGCAGCAAAGCGCGAUAGGUAAUGCGAAUUGCAGACGUGAGUCAUUGAAUUUUUGAACGCAUAUUGCGCUAUUAGUUUGUCUAAUAGCAUGCUUGUUGGAGUGAUAAUCUUCCUCUCAACCAUUUUUGGUAUGAGGUCUUGCUCCUUUUAGGAGUUAAAAUCAUGGAAGUGCACACGUUAAUUAACUCUGUGCAGUUAUACACUUUUCAUCCUCCAAUCAAGCAAGGUUACCCGCUGAACUUAAGCAUAUCAAUAAGCGGAGGAA